rnacentral:rRNA from 1 species
UACGUAGGUGGCAAGCGUUGUCCGGAAUUAUUGGGCGUAAAGCGCGCGCAGGCGGUUUCUUAAGUCUGAUGUGAAAGCCCACGGCUUAACCGUGGAAGGUCAUUGGAAACUGGGAGACUUGAGUGCAGAAGAGAAGAGCGGAAUUCCAGGUGUAGCGGUGAAAUGCGUAGAUAUCUGGAGGAACACCGGUGGCGAAGGCGGCAUUCUGGACCAUAACUGACACUGAGAGACGAAAGCCAGGGGAGCAAACGGG